UACGUAGGGGGCAAGCGUUGUCCGGAUUUAUUGGGCGUAAAGAGCGUGUAGGCGGCUUGACAGGUCUGCUGUGAAAACUCGAGGCUCAACCUCGAGAUGUCGGCGGAAACCGUCUGGCUAGAGUCCGGAAGAGGAGAGUGGAAUUCCUGGUGUAGCGGUGAAAUGCGCAGAUAUCAGGAAGAACACCUAUGGCGAAAGCAGCUCUCUGGGACGGUACUGACGCUGAGACGCGAAAGCGUGGGGAGCGAACAGG
rnacentral:rRNA from 1 species